CAGCAGCCACGGUAAUACGGAGGGUGCAAGCGUUAAUCGGAAUUACUGGGCGUAAAGCGCACGCAGGCGGUCUGACAAGUCAGAUGUGAAAUCCCCGGGCUUAACCUGGGAACUGCAUUUGAAACUGUCAGGCUGGAGUCUUGUAGAGGGGGGUGGAAUUCCAGGUGUAGCGGUGAAAUGCGUAGAGAUCUGGAGGAAUACCGGUGGCGAAGGCGGCCCCCUGGACAAAGACUGACGCUCAGGUGCGAAAGCGUGGGGAGCAAACAGGAUUAGAGACCCGUGUAGUCCCUGUCUCUUAUAC
rnacentral:rRNA from 1 species